rnacentral:rRNA from 1 species
GUCGAGCGGACCGACGGGAGCUUGCUCCCUUAGGUCAGCGGCGGACGGGUGAGUAACACGUGGGUAACCUGCCUGUAAGACUGGGAUAACUCCGGGAAACCGGGGCUAAUACCGGAUGCUUGAUUGAACCGCAUGGUUCAAUCAUAAAAGGUGGCUUUUAGCUACCACUUGCAGAUGGACCCGCGGCGCAUUAGCUAGUUGGUGAGGUAACGGCUCACCAAGGCGACGAUGCGUAGCCGACCUGAGAGGGUGAUCGGCCACACUGGGACUGAGACACGGCCCAGACUCCUACGGGAGGCAGCAGUAGGGAAUCUUCCGCAAUGGACGAAAGUCUGACGGAGCAACGCCGCGUGAGUGAUGAAGGUUUUCGGAUCGUAAAACUCUGUUGUUAGGGAAGAACAAGUACCGUUCGAAUAGGGCGGCACCUUGACGGUACCUAACCAGAAAGCCACGGCUAACUACGUGCCAGCAGCCGCGGUAAUACGUAGGUGGCAAGCGUUGUCCGGAAUUAUUGGGCGUAAAGCGCGCGCAGGCGGUUUCUUAAGUCUGAUGUGAAAGCCCCCGGCUCAACCGGGGAGGGUCAUUGGAAACUGGGGAACU